ensembl:rRNA 5S_rRNA 5S ribosomal RNA
GUACUGGAUUCUACCCACCUGAACGCACCCGAUCUCGUCUGAUCUCGGAAGCUAAGCAGGGUCGGGCCUGGUUAGUACU